rnacentral:rRNA from 1 species
GAUGAACGCUGGCGGCGUGCCUAAUACAUGCAAGUCGAGCGAACAGACGAGGAGCUUGCUCCUCUGACGUUAGCGGCGGACGGGUGAGUAACACGUGGAUAACCUACCUAUAAGACUGGGAUGACUUCGGGAGACCGGUGCUAAUACCGGAUAAUAUAUUGUACCGCAUGGUUCAAUAGUUCAUGACGGUUUUCCCGUCUCUAAUAGCUGGAUCCGCGUCGCAUUAGCUAGUUGGUAAGGUAACGGCUUACCAAGGCGACGAUGCGUAGCCGACCUGAGAGGGUGAUCAGCCACACUGGAACUGAGACACGGUCCAGACUCCUACGGGAGGCAGCAGUAGGGAAUCUUCCGCAAUGGGCGAAAGCCUGACGGAGCAACGCCGCGUGAGUGAUGAAGGUCUUCGGAUCGUAAAACUCUGUUAUUAGGGAAGAACAAAUGUGGAAGUAACUAUGCACGUCUUGACGGUACCUAAUCAGAAAGCCACGGCUAACUACGUG